GAUGAACGCUGGCGGCGCGCCUAACACAUGCAAGUCGAACGAUUAAAGCACCUUCGGGUGUGUAUAAAGUGGCGAACGGCUGAGUAACACGUGGGCAACCUGCCCCUCUCAUUGGGAUAGCCACGGGAAACCGUGGAUAAUACCGAAUACUUCGGGACUUCCGCAUGGAAGACUCGAGAAAGCUCCGGCGGAGAGGGAUGGGCCCGCGGCCUGUUAGCUUGUUGGUGGGGUAAUGGCCUACCAAGGCAAUGAUGGGUAGCUGGGUUGAGAGACCGACCAGCCAGAUUGGGACUGAGACACGGCCCAGACUCCUACGGGAGGCAGCAGUGGGGAAUCUUGCACAAUGGGCGAAAGCCUGAUGCAGCGACGCCGCGUGCGGGAUGAAGGCCUUCGGGUUGUAAACCGCUUUCAGCAGGGACGAGGCGAAAGUGACGGUACCUGCAGAAGAAGCCCCGGCUAAUUACGUG
rnacentral:rRNA from 1 species